rnacentral:pre_miRNA from 1 species
ACAACAUUUGGACCGUCGGUCUACCGAGCUAUUACACCCGCUCGGUGGAAGAUCUUCCCUUCGACGU